rnacentral:rRNA from 1 species
CCUUCUCAUUUAGAGGAAGGAGAAAUCGUAACAAGGUUUUCGCAAGUAAACAUGUGGAAGGAUCAUUG